rnacentral:rRNA from 1 species
GACGAACGCUGGCGGCGUGCUUAACACAUGCAAGUCGAACGGAAAGGCCCUGCUUUUGUUGGGUGCUCGAGUGGCGAACGGGUGAGUAACACGUGAGUAACCUGCCCUUGACUUUGGGAUAACUUCAGGAAACUGGGGCUAAUACCUGAUAGGAGCUCCUGCUGCAUGGUGGGGGUUGGAAAGUUUCGGCGGUUGGGGAUGGACUCGCGGCUUAUCAGCUUGUUGGUGGGGUAGUGGCUUACCAAGGCUUUGACGGGUAGCCGGCCUGAGAGGGUGACCGGCCACAUUGGGACUGAGAGACGGCCCAGACUCCUACGGGAGGCAGCAGUGGGGAAUAUUGCACAAUGGGCGGAAGCCUGAUGCAGAAACGCCGCGUGCGGGAUGACGGCCUUCGGGUUGUAAACCGCUUUCGCCUGUGACGAAGCGUGAGUGACGGUAAUGGGUAAAGAAGCACCGGCUAACUACGUG